rnacentral:rRNA from 1 species
AUACGGAGGGUCCAAGCGUUAUCCGGAAUCAUUGGGUUUAAAGGGUCCGCAGGCGGUCAAUUAAGUCAGAGGUGAAAGCCCAUCGCUCAACGAUGGAACUGCGUUUGAUACUGGUUGACUUGAGUUAUACGGAAGUAGAUAGAAUAAGUAGUGUAGCGGUGAAAUGCAUAGAUAUUACUUAGAAUACCGAUUGCGAAGGCAGUCUACUACGUAUAUACUGACGCUGAGGGACGAAAGCGUGGGGAGCGAACAGGAUUAGAAACCCUAGUAGUCC